AAAGAUCCCGAGACUGAUUUGGACCCAGAUGUCACAUCUGUAUAAAUGAAAUUAAACAAUGACCUGGAUGGUGAAUUGAGAACAAGCACUGAUGCUGGGAAUCUAUUUUCUGUAUGUUCCAGUAAGAUUUACAUGGUAAAGCCAGUGUAGUACUUCAAUGGCCAAAAUAAUAUGCAUAGAAAACGUAUACCUACACUGUUAGAAUAAAAAUUGAGUGCCAAAAUAAAAACGUAAUGCCCCAUUUGAAUUAUCUAAACAAGUAUUUUAAAUAGUGGCACAGCACAACUGAAUGUUAAUGUCUAAUAAUAAAGAAGGUUCUAUAUAUGUAAAAUAGGAAUCUCGAGUAUGAAGUUUUGUUCCUAUCAAACAUUUUAAUCCAUAAUUAUGAAGAGGAAAUAUUUGUGCAAUCAACAAGAGUGAUGAGCAUUCAGUUAGCUUACUUUCCUCUACGGAUAGUCACCUCAUAUUGCAUUGGUGAAGGGAAAAAGAAUCUUCCUCUAUUAUACAUACUUGCCAUAAGUGAUAAGUGUAUUUUCUUAGUGCCAUAAAUAUCACCUCAAACAUUUUUUCACUGGAUUCAUUUCUUACUGGAUUCCAUGGAAAACAGUCUUGGAAAAUCUUAAUGUUAAUAAAAAAAGAGUCCUAUUCUGAACUGUGGUGGAAUAAAGAUGUGGGGAAAAGAGACAGAAAAUCAUUUUUCAAACAGAAGUAACAUCAGUUACCUUAGAAACUCUGAGUAGUUUUUCUCACAUCUUCAAAAGUGUUCCAGAAACCAAAAUAUCAGUAAUGGGGAGGUUUUUAUGUUGUAAGCUGUAAUUGCAGUUUUGUUAUGUGUUUGUGAAAAUUGUCCCAAUGAGGAGAGUGAGAAAAAGGCCACACACUUGUAGUUUCCAUUCCAAUAAAUAACUCUUCUCUGGGAAAAGGAAAAAAAAAAAAAGUUUCUACAAAACUGCUUUGUAAUGUUGUGUAUCUUAAAAUGCAAGAAUAACCACAUAAUUUACUCACACACUUUGAUAUGUAUUUGUUCCAUGAUGUGGAUCCAUGUAAUCAUAACAAUCUCUUCCAGCAUUUGAAGAUCAAAAGGCAAUUGAACUUCUCUGAGCUCCUGGUGAAAUCACUUAAAUUAGAACAGACUUUAAUUUGGUCCUUUCUAUCUGCUGAAAUUCAAUAGUUCACACAAAAAAUAAAAUGUUGCAUUUGGCAUUUAAAAUUUAUCUUAUAACAAUAGAAGGAACUGUCUUAGAGUGUGAGAAAUUAUUCUCUCAAAAAGUUUACAGGAAUUAAUGAGCUUGGCUGUUCUCUUAUGCAGCUGCAACCCAGAAAUCAGGGAGCUGUUGCUGGCAUAUGACCACUGAGAGUGGAAAAUAAAACCUUGGUGAGCGUCUACAAAGAGAAAAUUGAAGGAAACAGGAAUAGAGCUGCUUGGGGAAAGAAUAAAAAAAACACAGAAGCAUAUCCCGAGUUGAAAGGAACCCAUAAGGGAUCACUGAGUCCAACUCCUGGUUCCAUACAGGACUACACAGAAAUCAGACCACAGUGGAAGAUAUUUGUAUCUGGCUAACAAAGUUUAUUUUCUAUCCAUCAUUUCCCAUUUAAUGAUGAAACCAGUAGCAUGACUUUUAUCUCUGCUAAGGACAUACACUGGUUCCAACAUGAGUAUCUUGAAAUAUGAGUAAUUCUUUAAUUCUCAUAAAGCAGCCUGCAAAAUAAAAUCCACAUUUACU
ensembl:lncRNA